ACGGGGUGCAGCAGGCGCGAAAACUCCGCAAUGCGCGAAAGCGUGACGGGGUUACCCCGAGUGCCGUCCGUUGAGGAUGGCUUUUCUCUAGUGUAAGAUGCUGGGGGAAUAAAGGGGGGGCAAGUCUGGUGUCAGCCGCCGCGGUAAUACCAGCCCCCUGAGUGAUAGGGACGAUUAUUUAGCCUAAAACGUCCGUAGCCGGUUUAGUAAGUCUUUCGUUAAAUCUGACGACUCAAUCGCCAGGCCGCGGAAGAUACUACUAGACUAGAGGGCGGGAGAGGUUGACGGUAGUCCUGGAGUAGGGGUGAAAUCCUAUAAUCCCGGGAGGACCACCAGUGGCGAAGGCGGUCAACUAGAACGCGCCUGACGGUGAUGGACGAAAGCUGGGGGAGCGAACCGGAUUAGACACCCGGGUAGUCCCAGCUGUAAACGAUGCGGGCUAGGUGUUGGAGCAGCUACGGGCCGCUCCAGUGCCGCAGAGAAGUCGUUAAGCCCGUCGCUUGGGAAGUACGGCCGCAAGGCUGAAACUUAAAGGAAUUGGCGGGGGAGCAC
rnacentral:rRNA from 1 species